rnacentral:rRNA from 1 species
CAGCAGCCGCGGUAAUUCGUAGGGGGCCAGCGUUGUUCGGAAUUACUGGGUGUAAAGGGCUCGUAGGCGGUGCGGCAAGUUGGGAGUGAAAUCUCUGGGCUUAACCCAGAGGCUGCUUCCAAAACUGCUGUGCUCGAGUGUGAGAGAGGCUCGUGGAAUUGCAGGUGUAGCGGUGAAAUGCGUAGAUAUCUGCAGGAACACCCGUGGCGAAAGCGGCGAGCUGGAUCACUACUGACGCUGAGGAACGAAAGCUAGGGGAGCAAACAGGAUUAGAUACCCUGGUAGUCCUAGCCCUAAUCGAUCAGGACUUGGGGUGCCGCCCGUUCGGGCGUCGUCCCGGAGCUAACGCGUUAAGUCCUGCACCUGGGGAGUACGGUCGCAAGACUGAAACUCAAAUGAAUUGACGG